rnacentral:rRNA from 1 species
AUCCAGAGUACCACGGAGCACGAGGAAUUCUGUGGGAAGCAGGGGGGACCACCCUCCAAGGCUAAAGACUGCAUGGCGACCGAUAGCGUAUAGUACCAUGAGGGAAAGGUGAAAAGAACCCCGGGAGGGGAGUGAAAGAGAACCUGAAACCGUAUGUCUACAAGCAGUCGGAGCGAAAGCGACGGCGUGCCUAUUGAAGAAUGAGCCAACGAGUUGCGUGUGCUGGCGAGGUUAAGCAGAAGAUGCGGAGCCGCAGGGAAACCGAGUCUGAAAAGGGCGGAAGUCAGUGUACGCAGACCCGAAACUGUAGUGAUCUACGCAUGGCCAGACUGAAACGCAGGUAAAAUUGCGCGGAGGGUCGAACCGGGACAUGUUGAAAAAUGUUCGGAUGAGCUGUGCGUAGGGGUGAAAUUCCAAUCGAACGCAGAGAUAGCUGGUUCUCCUCGAAAUAGCUUUAGGGCUAGCCUCACGUAGUAAGCGCGGGCGGUAGAGCACUGAUCGGGCUAGGGGCCGUAAUGGUUACCGAACCCUGUCAAACUCCGAAUGGCGGCGCUGCAGAGCGUGGGAGUCAGACUACGAGUGAUAAGAUCCGUGGUCAAAAGGGAAACAGCCCAGACCAUCAGCUAAGGUCCCCAAUGCCGUACUAAGUGGAAAAGGAUGUGGGGUUUCAUCAACAACCAGGAUGUUGGCUCAGAAGCAGCCACCAUUUAAAGAGUGCGUAAUAGCUCACUGGUCGAGAGACCCUGCGCCGAAGAUUCCCGGGGCUAAAGUACGGAACCGAAGCUAUGGAUGCGAGCGCAAGCUCGCGUGGUAGAGGAGCGUUCCUGUCGGGCAGAAGCAGGACUGUAAGGUUUUGUGGACCGUCAGGAAGUGAGAAUGUUGGCAUGAGUAGCGAAAAGGACGGUGAGAAUCCGUCCCACCGAAAGCAUAAGGAUUCCUGGGCAACGAUCGUCGUCCCAGGGUAAGUCGGGACCUAAUCCGAGGCAAGAGGCGUAGGAGAUGGACAUCCGGUUGAGAUUCCGGAACCGGCAGUAAUUGUUUGACCGAUGGAGUGACACAGGAAGGCAGGCCCGCACGGGAAUGGAAGUCCGUGUGCAAGCGUGCGGCGCGGGAUACAGGCAAAUCCGUAUCCCACAAGCGCGAGGCGUGACGCGUAGCAUCCAGCGAUGGAAGCGAAGGGGUUGGGCCUACACUGUCGAGAAAAGCUUCUAGGGAGAGAGCUGCCGCCCGUACCGUAAACCGACACAGGUAUGCGGGGAGAGAAUCCUAAGGUGCGCGGGAGAACCCUCGUUAAGGAACUCGGCAAAAUGUACCCGUAACUUCGGGAUAAGGGUAGCCAUGGAAGGUGAAGCGUUUCACACGUGGAGCGUUCUGUGGUCGCAGAGAAGAGGCCCAAGCGACUGUUUACCAAAAACUUAGGUGCCUGCCAAAGCGAAAGCUGACGUAUAGGUGCUGACACCUGCCCAGUGCCGGAAGGUUAAGGAAGGAGGUUCGGGGAAACCCAAAGCUUUCGACCGAAGCCCCGGUGAACGGCGGCCGUAACUAUAACGGUCCUAAGGUAGCGAAAUUCCUUGUCGGGUAAGUUCCGACCCGCACGAAAG